rnacentral:rRNA from 1 species
AUGACGACGAAGGCGAAGCUCGGGGAGCUAAUGUGGGAGCACCGGCUGCGUGCGGCGGCGGCGGUGGCGUUCCUCGCCGUCGCCGUGGUGUCGAUCUCCGCCGUCGGGCCCAGGCUCGGCGCCGUGGUCUCCUUCUUCUGGCCGCUGCUCGUCUCCACGGCCUUCUUCCUCGUGGCCAUCACCGUGCUGCUCCGGAUCUCGCCGCCGCCCAGCGGCGCGGAGGAGUCCGGCAAGGAGAUCAUCGACUUCGUCGCCGGGUGCCGCCCCGAGCACCUCCUCCCGGAGGCGUCCGCCACCGUGGAGGUGCCGCCGGAGCCGGAGAUCUGA